CCUACGGGGGGCAGCAGUCGAGAAUCAUUCACAAUGGGGGAAACCCUGAUGCUGCGACGCCGCGUGGGGGAAUGAAGGUCUUCGGAUUGUAAACCCCUGUCAUGUGGGAGCAAAUUAAAAAGAUAGUACCACAAGAGGAAGAGACGGCUAACUCUGUGCCAGCAGCCGCGGUAAUACAGAGGUCUCAAGCGUUGUUCGGAAUCACUGGGCGUAAAGCGUGCGUAGGCUGUUUCGUAAGUCGGGUGUGAAAGGCGCGGGCUCAACCCGCGGACCGCACAUGAGACUGCGAGACUAGAGUAGUGGAGGGGGAACCGGAAUUCUCGGUGUAGCAGUGAAAUGCGUAGAUAUCGAGAGGAACACUCGUGGCGAAGGCGGGUUCCUGGACAUUAACUGACGCUGAGGCACGAAGGCCAGGGGAGCGAAAGGGAUUAGAUACCCUUGUAGUC
rnacentral:rRNA from 1 species